CCUACGAGGAGCAGCAGUGGGGAAUAUUGGACAAUGGGCGAAAGCCUGAUCCAGCCAUGCCGCGUGUGUGAAGAAGGCCUUCGGGUUGUAAAGCACUUUCAGUGGGGAAGAAAGCCUUGGGGCUAAUACCCUCGAGGAAGGACAUCACCCACAGAAGAAGCACCGGCUAACUCCGUGCCAGCAGCCGCGGUAAUACGGAGGGUGCGAGCGUUAAUCGGAAUUACUGGGCGUAAAGCGCGCGUAGGCGGUCUGAUAAGCCGGUUGUGAAAGCCCCGGGCUCAACCUGGGAACGGCAUCCGGAACUGUCAGGCUAGAGUGCAGGAGAGGAAGGUAGAAUUCCCGGUGUAGCGGUGAAAUGCGUAGAGAUCGGGAGGAAUACCAGUGGCGAAGGCGGCCUUCUGGACUGACACUGACGCUGAGGUGCGAAAGCGUGGGUAGCAAACAGGAUUAGAUACCCCGGUAGUC
rnacentral:rRNA from 1 species